rnacentral:rRNA from 1 species
GACAGAGGGUGCAAACGUUGUUCGGAAUUACUGGGCGUAAAGCGCACGUAGGCGGCUUUCUAAGUCGGGGGUGAAAUCCUGGAGCUCAACUCCAGAACUGCCUUCGAUACUGGAAAGCUCGAGUCCGGGAGAGGUGAGUGGAACUGCGAGUGUAGAGGUGAAAUUCGUAGAUAUUCGCAAGAACACCAGUGGCGAAGGCGGCUCACUGGCCCGGUACUGACGCUCAGGGGCGAAAGCGCGGGGAGCAAACCGG